rnacentral:rRNA from 1 species
UACGAAGGGGGCUAGCGUUGCUCGGAAUCACUGGGCGUAAAGAGCGCGUAGGCGGGUCUUUAAGUCAGGGGUGAAAUCCUGGAGCUCAACUCCAGAACUGCCUUUGAUACUGAGGAUCUUGAGUUCGGGAGAGGUGAGUGGAACUGCGAGUGUAGAGGUGAAAUUCGUAGAUAUUCGCAAGAACACCAGUGGCGAAGGCGACACACUGGCCCAUUACUGACGCUGAGGCUCGAAAGCGUGGGGAGCAAACAGG